UACGGGGGGGAGCAAGCGUUGUUCGGAUUUACUGGGCGUAAAGGGCGCGUAGGCGGCGCAACAAGUCACUUGUGAAAUCUCCGGGCUUAACCCGGAGCGGUCAAGUGAUACUGUCGUGCUAGAGUGCGGAAGGGGCUACUGGAAUUCUCGGUGUAGCGGUGAAAUGCGUAGAGAUCGGGGAGGAACACCAGAGGCGAAGGCGGCAACCUGGACAAGUACUGACACUCAACUA
rnacentral:rRNA from 1 species